rnacentral:rRNA from 1 species
GGGAUAACACUGCGAAAGCGGUGCUAAUACCUGAUACGUUCACGGUUUUCAAAGCUGUGGAUAAAGGUGGCCUCUGAUAUAAGCUAUCGCUUGAAGAUGAGCCCGCGUACCAUUAGCUUGUUGGUAGGGUAAUGGCCUACCAAGGCUAUGAUGGUUAGCUGGCCUGAGAGGGUGGCCAGCCACACUGGAACUGAGACACGGUCCAG